GAAACACGCGGAGAGGUCAGACUUUCAAGUGCAGAGCUCAGAACUAAGUAAGUGAGUUACCUGACAAAGCUGAACAACUAAAGGAAUGUAAAGCACAUGUGCACAUCACACUUUUCUUUUCCAUUUGUAAUCAGAGUAACAUUAACCAAUCAUGUUUUGCAUUGGUUGCAUGCAGGUUAACAGUCCGUGUGGUAGAGCAGGCAGGCAAAACGUGUUUCUCACUUAUCCCAGGUUACUAAUCGGACUGCAAAGGAAGUCUUGGCCGAGAUGUCCGUUAUCUGUUUUAUGGUUAUCUGCAGGAUGCACUGAAAACUCUGUAACAUUGGCUGUUGUCAGACGGCCAAUUGGUUCCAAGAUCAAACUCCAAUCCACUGAUGGAAGGUUGUAAGAUGUGGCUAACAGCUGAGACUUUAACUGGACCCUGUCAGGCAACAAUUAGAUCAAGAUGAGAUGAUCAGCCAACCUUGGGAAACAUGGAAGAGAGGUCCGACUCGAUGCCCUCUUUCUCAGUCUGAGCCUGCAUGAUCCUCUUCUCUGAAAGGAAGAAACAAACAGACAAGCUGAACUCCCCGAUGCCAAAGUCCAGUUUCUGCAGAACUGGUUCCAGCCACAAACCGACCUCGUGAGAUGAAAUCAGAGGCCACAGGAAAACGCCAAGCACUGCAGAGAAAGUUCAAGA